rnacentral:ncRNA from 1 species
UCCGAGCCGUCAAAGCUACAUCCGUUUGGACAUGCUUUGCCGGCCGUUGGCCGAAAAACAAAGGCGUAUGCCUCCGGCCAAAGGGCUUUUUCGGAAACGAAACUGCCUUCCGUGCUUGAAAAGGAGAAAUGGAU